rnacentral:rRNA from 1 species
GGAUCACGCCGCGUGAGGGAUGAAGGCCUCUGGGCUGUAAACCUCUUUUCUCAAGGAAGAAGAACUGACGGUACUUGAGGAAUAAGCCACGGCUAAUUCCGUGCCAGCAGCCGCGGUAAUACGGGAGUGGCAAGCGUUAUCCGGAAUUAUUGGGCGUAAAGCGUCCGCAGGCGGCCUCGUAAGUCUGUCGUUAAAGCGUGGAGCUUAACUCCAUUUCAGCGACGGAAACUGUGAGGCUUGAGUGUGGUAGGGGCAGAGGGAAUUCCCGGUGUAGCGGUGAAAUGCGUAGAUAUCGGGAAGAACACCAGUGGCGAAGGCGCUCUGCUGGGCCAUAACUGACGCUCAUGGACGAAAGCCAGGGGAGCGAAAGGGAUUAGAUACCCCUGUAGUCCUGGCCGUAAACGAUGAACACUAGGUGUCGGGGGAAUCGACCCCCUCGGUGUCGUAGCCAACGCGUUAAGUGUUCCGCCUGGGGAGUACGCACGCAAGUGUGAAACUCAAAGGAAUUGACGGGGGCCCGCACAAGCGGUGGAGUAUGUGGUUUAAUUCGAUGCAACGCGAAGAACCUUACCAGGGUUUGACAUCCUGCG